ensembl:lncRNA
CUUAUACAGUUUACAAUGUAAAAAGGCACAGAGAAAGAAACAAAUAUUAAAUAUAAUGUCAGAGAUGGAUAAUUGCUGUGAACAAAAAUUAAAAUUAGGGUAAAUAAUUAGAGUGUGGUGGAGGGGACCAUUUUAAAUAGCCUCAUUAUGGUAGGGUUCUCUGAGGAGAUGACAUUUGGACAGAAAUCUACAGGAAGAGGGACAGACUGCAAGACUCUCUCCAGGUGACACCAAGUUCAGAUGCUGGCGGAAAAGAAUGGUGGGAACGUUCAAGGCUCAGCAAGAAGGAGCCGGGACUGGGAACAACUGGGAGACUCAUCUCUCCUUGUCCUACUCCCAGUGACACCGUCAGUAACUCACUCAGCAAUAACACAGAACCCUAGGAGUUCAUGGUAAUAUAGAAGAGCAUUGCUGCUAAGUCACUUCAGUCGUGUCCGACUCUGUCCGACCCCAUAGAUGGCAGCCUACCAGGCUCUGCCGUCCCUGGGAUUCUCCAGGCAAGAACACUGGAGUGGGUUGCCAUUUCCUUCUCCAAUGCAUGAAAGUGAAAAGUGAAAGUGAAGUCGCUCAGUCGUGCCCGACUCUGCUGCUGCUGCUGCUGCCGCUAAGUCCUUCAGUCGUGUCCGACUCUGUGCGACCCCAUAGACGGCAGUCCACCAGGCUCCCCCGUCCCUGGGAUUCUCCUGGCAAGAACACUGGAGUGGGUUGCCAUUUCCUUCUCCAAACUCUUAGCAUUAAAACAC